CUCCUGCACAGCACAUGGGCCCUUCACUUGCUGUUAUGACCCUGCUGUAGGGCACAGAAUCUCCUUGGAGUCAUCUCUGGAGUGGACAGCUCUUCCAAAGAAAGCUGAGGUCCUUAUUGGUGCAGAAACCUUCAUGCGAUGUGAAGAAAGAAUGACGUGGUUAUCAGCUCUGAAGUAGUCAUAGCCACUACACUGACCUGGCCAACCUCCAGAGAGUAACUAAGGAAAACAAGGCGAAUUUGAAGGACCUCACCCAUGAGACAGAGGCCUGGAUUGGCCUCUACAUUGGUGCAAACUCUGGGAUUCUGACGUGGUCCAGUGAUUUGGGUGACCACAUACCCUCCUGGUUGGAGAAGCGCAAGUUCAGCAGAGGACUGUGUGCAGGGCUCCGCACCUAUUCACACGUGGUUUAUACAGUGGUUUGCUCUUUUUGACAACCUUUCUUCUGCUUUUUUGCUAAGGCUAACAGAGACUGACACUGAUACAAGAGAUACAGCUACUACCACUACCACCACUACCAC